rnacentral:ncRNA from 1 species
GUAAAAACAAUGACAGAAACUAGUAGCAGCUGAUCCCUUUUUUAAGAGAGCCGGUGGGUGGUGUGAACCGGUAAAAGGAUGUUGUGAAUCCAUUCUGGAGUGGAAAGCCGAACCUGUUUCAGUAAGCUUUCCCGGUCAGGCGCCGUUAAGUUAUGAGCGGAAAAUGAGUCUAUCAUUUUCAACCAGGGUGGUAACGCGGGCAUUAACUCUCGUCCCUUUU